GUCAAUCUGUUAUUUGGAUCCACAAGUAUACAUCUUAUUUAAGGUACUUAUCUUAGAGUAAUGACUAUGAUGAUGGAUAUGGCACUGCUUAUGAUGAACAGAGUUAUGAUUCCUAUGAUAACAGCUAUAGCACCCCAGCCCAAAGUGGUGCUGAUUACUAUGAUUACGGACAUGGACUCAGUGAGGAGACUUAUGAUUCCUACGGGCAAGAAGAGUGGACUAACUCAAGACACAAGGCACCUUCAGCGAGGACAGCAAAGGGCGUCUACAGAGACCAGCCAUAUGGCAGAUACUGAUUGUACUGUCUGAUGUUGUGAAAUAGCCAAUCUCCACCAGUCCUGUAUACUGUUCAAAGUAAUUUUUUUCUAUGAACAAUCCCUUUUUAAAUAAAUCAAA
rnacentral:sRNA from 2 species